GAUGAACGCUGGCGGCGUGCCUAACACAUGCAAGUCGAGCGAACAGACGAGGAGCUUGCGCUUCUGACGUUAGCGGCUGGCGGGUGAGUAACGCGUGGAUAACCUACCUCUUUUACGUGGAUAACUUCGGGAAACAGGAGAUAAUAAUAGAGAAUACAUCCAACCGCAUGGUUCAAUAGAGAUUCACGGUUUUGCUGUCACUUAUAGAUGGAUCCGCGUCGCAUUAGCUAGUUGGUAAGGUAACGGCUUACCAAGGCAACGAUGCGUAGCCGACCUGAGAGGGUGAUCGGCCACACUGGAACUGAGACACGGUCCAGACUCCUACGGGAGGCAGCAGUAGGGAAUCUUGGGCAAUGGGCGCAAGCCUGACGCAGCAACGCCGCGUGAGUGAUGAAGGUCUUCGGGUCGUAAAACUCUGUUAUUGGGGAAGAAAAAAUGUGUAAGUAACUACGCCCGUCUUGACGGUACCUAAUCAAAAAGCCACGGCUAACUACGUG
rnacentral:rRNA from 1 species